rnacentral:misc_RNA from 1 species
AAUAAGUGUUCAAUGGCACUUUAAAUCCAUAUCCACCUUGUGUGCAAUGUCGAGGUGCGAUCUUCUUCGAUGGAGAUCGACCUAUACAUACCUUAAUCUUUACUCUGUUGUCUGAAAUUUUAUGAGUAUAAAACUCAAAUA